rnacentral:rRNA from 1 species
AACGUAGGAUCCGAGCGUUGUCCGGAAUCACUGGGUGUAAAGGGUGCGUAGGCGGGCUCGCGCGUCAAGGGUUAAAGACCUCGGCUCAAACGGGGGAAUGCCCUUGAUACGGCAGGCCUUGAGUGCGGGAGAGGAUGGUGGAAUUCCUGGUGUAGCGGUGAAAUGCGUAGAGAUCAGGAGGAGCUCCGAAGGCGAAGGCAGCCAUCUGGACCGCCACUGACGCUGAGGCACGAAAGCGUGGGGAGCAAACAGG